rnacentral:rRNA from 1 species
CCUACGGGCGGCAGCAGUGAGGAAUAUUGGUCAAUGGGCGGAAGCCUGAACCAGCCAAGUAGCGUGCAGGAUGACGGCCCUACGGGUUGUAAACCUCUUUUGUCGGGGAGCAAGGCCCGCCACGUGUGGCGGGAAGGAGAGUACCCGAAGAAAAAGCAUCGGCUAACUCCGUGCCAGCAGCCGCGGUAAUACGGAGGAUGCGAGCGUUAUCCGGAUUUAUUGGGUUUAAGGGGUGCGUAGGCGGAAGGUUAAGUCAGCGGUAAAAUGUCGGUGCUCAACACCGGCCUGCCGUUGAAACUGGUCUUCUUGAGUGAGCGAGAAGUAUGCGGAAUGCGUGGUGUAGCGGUGAAAUGCAUAGAUAUCACGCAGAACUCCGAUUGCGAAGGCAGCAUACCGGCGCUCAACUGACGCUGAGGCACGAAAGCGUGGGGAUCGAACAGGAUUAGAUACCCUUGUAGUC